rnacentral:rRNA from 1 species
GAUGAACGCUGGCGGCGUGCCCAAUACAUGCAAGUCGAGCGAACCACUCCGGUGGAGAGCGGCGAACGGGUGCGUAACACGUAGGUCAUCUACCCAUUAGACGGGGAUAACGUUUGGAAACGAACGCUAAUACCGGAGAGGAAGAAAUUUUAGAGGUGCUUUCGGGCACCGCUAAUGGCUGAGCCUGCGGCGCAUUAGCUAGUUGGUAAGGGAAGAGCUUACCAAGGCGACGAUGCGUAGCAGACCUGAGAGGGUGAACGGCCACACUGGGCCUGAGACACGGCCCAGACUCCUACGGGAGGCAGCAGUAGGGAAUCUUCGGCAAUGGACGAAAGUCUGACCGAGCAACGCCGCGUGAAUGAAGAAGGCCUUCGGGUUGUAAAAUUCUGUUAUAAGGGAAGAAAGACUAUAGUAGGAAAUGGCUAUAGGGUGACGGUACCUUAUGAGAAAGCCACGGCUAACUACGUGCCAGCAGCCGCGGUAAGAC